UACGGAGGGUGCGAGCGUUGUUCGGAAUCACUGGGCGUAAAGCGCGUGUAGGCGGCCUCUUAAGUCUGGUGUGAAAGCCCGGGGCUCACCCCCGGAAGUGCACUGGAAACUGGGUGGCUGGAGUACCGGAGAGGAGGGUGGAAUUCCUGGUGUAGCGGUGAAAUGCGUAGAUAUCAGGAGGAACACCGGUGGCGAAGGCGGCCCUCUGGACGGAUACUGACGCUGAGACGCGAAAGCGUGGGGAGCAAACAGG
rnacentral:rRNA from 1 species